GACUACAGUCUUAAAUAUCCUAAGCACCAGAUCCUGUCUUUUCUUGGCAGCUAAGCAGAGUCAAAUUCUGGUUAGUAUUUGGAUAGGAAACCACCAAUCAAUAUCAGGUACUGUGGGUU
rnacentral:rRNA from 11 species